rnacentral:misc_RNA from 1 species
GAUGAAGAACGUAGCGAAAUGCGAUAAGUAAUGUGAAUUGCAGAAUUCAGUGAAUCAUCGAAUCUUUGAACGCACAUUGCGCCCCUUGGUAUUCCGAGGGGCAUGCCUGUUCGAGCGUCAUUAUAACCCCUCAAGCUCAGCUUGGUGUUGGGGCCUGCUGCACUGGCAGCCCUUAAAAUCAGUGGCGGCGCCAUCUGGCUCUAAGCGUAGUAAUUCUUCUCGCUAUGGAGUCCUGGUGGAUGCUUGCCAUCAACCCCCAAUUUUUCUAUGGUUGACCUCGGAUCAGGUAGGGAUACCCGCUGAACUUAAGCAUAUCAAUAAACGGAGGA